GGUUAAGCGACUAAGCGUACACGGUGGAUGCCCUGGCAGUCAGAGGCGAUGAAGGACGUGCUAAUCUGCGAUAAGCGUCGGUAAGGUGAUAUGAACCGUUAUAACCGGCGAUUUCCGAAUGGGGAAACCCAGUGUGAUUCGUCACACUAUCAUUAACUGAAUCCAUAGGUUAAUGAGGCGAACCGGGGGAACUGAAACAUCUAAGUACCCCGAGGAAAAGAAAUCAACCGAGAUUCCCCCAGUAGCGGCGAGCGAACGGGGAGGAGCCCAGAGCCUGAAUCAGUGUGUGUGUUAGUGGAAGCGUCUGGAAAGGCGCGCGAUACAGGGUGACAGCCCCGUACACAAAAAUGCACAUGCUGUGAGCUCGAUGAGUAGGGCGGGACACGUGGUAUCCUGUCUGAAUAUGGGGGGACCAUCCUCCAAGGCUAAAUACUCCUGACUGACCGAUAGUGAACCAGUACCGUGAGGGAAAGGCGAAAAGAACCCCGGCGAGGGGAGUGAAAAAGAACCUGAAACCGUGUACGUACAAGCAGUGGGAGCACGCUUAGGCGUGUGACUGCGUACCUUUUGUAUAAUGGGUCAGCGACUUAUAUUCUGUAGCAAGGUUAACCGAAUAGGGGAGCCGAAGGGAAACCGAGUCUUAACUGGGCGUUAAGUUGCAGGGUAUAGACCCGAAACCCGGUGAUCUAGCCAUGGGCAGGUUGAAGGUUGGGUAACACUAACUGGAGGACCGAACCGACUAAUGUUGAAAAAUUAGCGGAUGACUUGUGGCUGGGGGUGAAAGGCCAAUCAAACCGGGAGAUAGCUGGUUCUCCCCGAAAGCUAUUUAGGUAGCGCCUCGUGAAUUCAUCUCCGGGGGUAGAGCACUGUUUCGGCAAGGGGGUCAUCCCGACUUACCAACCCGAUGCAAACUGCGAAUACCGGAGAAUGUUAUCACGGGAGACACACGGCGGGUGCUAACGUCCGUCGUGAAGAGGGAAACAACCCAGACCGCCAGCUAAGGUCCCAAAGUCAUGGUUAAGUGGGAAACGAUGUGGGAAGGCCCAGACAGCCAGGAUGUUGGCUUAGAAGCAGCCAUCAUUUAAAGAAAGCGUAAUAGCUCACUGGUCGAGUCGGCCUGCGCGGAAGAUGUAACGGGGCUAAACCAUGCACCGAAGCUGCGGCAGCGACACUAUGUGUUGUUGGGUAGGGGAGCGUUCUGUAAGCCUGUGAAGGUGUGCUGUGAGGCAUGCUGGAGGUAUCAGAAGUGCGAAUGCUGACAUAAGUAACGAUAAAGCGGGUGAAAAGCCCGCUCGCCGGAAGACCAAGGGUUCCUGUCCAACGUUAAUCGGGGCAGGGUGAGUCGACCCCUAAGGCGAGGCCGAAAGGCGUAGUCGAUGGGAAACAGGUUAAUAUUCCUGUACUUGGUGUUACUGCGAAGGGGGGACGGAGAAGGCUAUGUUGGCCGGGCGACGGUUGUCCCGGUUUAAGCGUGUAGGCUGGUUUUCCAGGCAAAUCCGGAAAAUCAAGGCUGAGGCGUGAUGACGAGGCACUACGGUGCUGAAGCAACAAAUGCCCUGCUUCCAGGAAAAGCCUCUAAGCAUCAGGUAACAUCAAAUCGUACCCCAAACCGACACAGGUGGUCAGGUAGAGAAUACCAAGGCGCUUGAGAGAACUCGGGUGAAGGAACUAGGCAAAAUGGUGCCGUAACUUCGGGAGAAGGCACGCUGAUAUGUAGGUGAAGCGACUUGCUCGUGGAGCUGAAAUCAGUCGAAGAUACCAGCUGGCUGCAACUGUUUAUUAAAAACACAGCACUGUGCAAACACGAAAGUGGACGUAUACGGUGUGACGCCUGCCCGGUGCCGGAAGGUUAAUUGAUGGGGUUAGCGCAAGCGAAGCUCUUGAUCGAAGCCCCGGUAAACGGCGGCCGUAACUAUAACGGUCCUAAGGUAGCGAAAUUCCUUGUCGGGUAAGUUCCGACCUGCACGAAUGGCGUAAUGAUGGCCAGGCUGUCUCCACCCGAGACUCAGUGAAAUUGAACUCGCUGUGAAGAUGCAGUGUACCCGCGGCAAGACGGAAAGACCCCGUGAACCUUUACUAUAGCUUGACACUGAACAUUGAGCCUUGAUGUGUAGGAUAGGUGGGAGGCUUUGAAGUGUGGACGCCAGUCUGCAUGGAGCCGACCUUGAAAUACCACCCUUUAAUGUUUGAUGUUCUAACGUUGACCCGUGAUCCGGGUUGCGGACAGUGUCUGGUGGGUAGUUUGACUGGGGCGGUCUCCUCCUAAAGAGUAACGGAGGAGCACGAAGGUUGGCUAAUCCUGGUCGGACAUCAGGAGGUUAGUGCAAUGGCAUAAGCCAGCUUGACUGCGAGCGUGACGGCGCGAGCAGGUGCGAAAGCAGGUCAUAGUGAUCCGGUGGUUCUGAAUGGAAGGGCCAUCGCUCAACGGAUAAAAGGUACUCCGGGGAUAACAGGCUGAUACCGCCCAAGAGUUCAUAUCGACGGCGGUGUUUGGCACCUCGAUGUCGGCUCAUCACAUCCUGGGGCUGAAGUAGGUCCCAAGGGUAUGGCUGUUCGCCAUUUAAAGUGGUACGCGAGCUGGGUUUAGAACGUCGUGAGACAGUUCGGUCCCUAUCUGCCGUGGGCGCUGGAGAACUGAGGGGGGCUGCUCCUAGUACGAGAGGACCGGAGUGGACGCAUCACUGGUGUUCGGGUUGUCAUGCCAAUGGCACUGCCCGGUAGCUAAAUGCGGAAGAGAUAAGUGCUGAAAGCAUCUAAGCACGAAACUUGCCCCGAGAUGAGUUCUCCCUGACUCCUUGAGAGUCCUGAAGGAACGUUGAAGACGACGACGUUGAUAGGCCGGGUGUGUAAGCGCAGCGAUGCGUUGAGCUAACCGGUACUAAUGAACCGUGAGGCUUAACCUU
rnacentral:rRNA from 1 species